UGAACAGGGACAGCCAUUCAUCACUAGCUAUACAACAGCCUACAUACUGACAAACUGGAGCGAUGCGUCCACAGCUUGAGGAGACGGUUUUGUUUUGCUGUGAAUAAAUGAGCGCUUAUAUUCGAGUGGCGGAGACAUUUUACCGUUAAAUCUUGAAGCCAUUUCAUAAAAAGCAGCAGCGAAAGGCUGCCAGGCUGUGUCUCUCCACCUCCUUUUCCAACCCCUCAGUAGCUACUCUGGAUGUUCUCUCAGACACACUGCCAAUGACGGUGAAGCCUCUGACAAAACCGACUAGUCUACAAAGUGUGAAGAUUAUUACACGUAUGGCGACCGAAGAAAAGACGCCUGAACUGUUUCACGCGUUUUAGUGUCUCUGGAAGACUACAGCGCCUCGAAGAAAGGGAUGCUAACCAGCCGUGUAGCCAAGCUGAACCAAAGUGAAUGAAUGGCUGACAGAGAAAGUGUAUAGCAGCACUAAGACUCUCUCUCUCUCUCUCUCUCUCUCUCUCUCUCUCUCUCUCUCCCAGCGAGGAAUGGACACAGCUUUAUCAACACUGGAGAAACGGAGACCGGGAUAUUGACCCCACAUUUAAUUCACUACUAUGCUGUGGAAAGGAGCUGGGCUUCUGUUUGUGAUAGUAUUUCCCUUAAAUUCAGCCCAGAUCUCAGAGCACCCUCCAGUCAUGAGCAGUGACCUCUUCCCAGGUGUAGUGUACACACCUGGACCAUCAUACCUGAGUCUGAUUCUGCUGGCUUUCACCGUAGGACUGUCCGGCAGUAUUUACCUCUGUGUGCUGCGCUACAUCUGUGCCGGAUGCUGCCAGCCAAUAGGAGUCGGGCCAGAAGAUGACAGCCUAUCUGGAGUGGUCUGAAAAUAUGCUCUUAAGGUGCCAAAAAGGGGUCUUUGAAGCGAUGCCACAGAAGAACUGCUCUGUGAAGUGGCUUUGUGAUUAAAUGUAAAUGGGAUGUAUGUCUUUGCAGAACCUUUUUAAACUUUAAAGAGCCUCCACAUAAUUGUUGUGUACCAAUUAAAGAUUUUCCGAAGCCAAGAAUCAUGUAGGAACCUUUGUUUUAAAGACUGUAGGGUUCUGUUUGUGUGCAUUAGGACUGGCUGCUGUAUGUUAUUUUGACCCUUCUCUCUUUUCUGCAGAGCCUGGUACCUGAAUAUGAUGGAAAUGGCAAAAUGGUAAGAAUAGCAGGGGUGACUGGAGUAAAGGCAAUGAGAGAACAUUGAGGGGUACAUUAUUACAGUGCCCAAGAGGAAAUCCGCUUAUGGCCGUGAUCAUUAUUUUUGCUGAGAAAGGCACAGCCAGUGCUGAUUUUAUUCCUUCGAGCAUCUUGGGAGUAAAAAUGAAGUAUACAGUAAUUGGCCUCACACAGCACUAUUGAUGACUAAUAAUGCACUGUGAUAGCAUUUGUAAUAAUGGUCAUUACGGGCAAAGAAAUGGUCACUAUGUACACAUAGCUGCAUUGUCUUUACACACCUCGUUUGUGUCAUAUAUACAUAUUGUUAAAAUUAUUGAAAUCUUUCAUGGGUGAGUGGCCUGCAGAGCCUCUUGUUUGAUUGACAGGUCACCCUCUGGGGAAGUAAUCUGCAAGCUGCAGCUACUUUGGCUGUGAAGAGCCUGUUGCCAUGGCAAUAGUUCUCUCUGCCUGCCUCUAGAUGGGGCUGCUCUAUUAUCAAUGUGGUGAUCAGAAUUUGUCAGCCGUGAAAUGGACUUGUAUUGAUUAAUAUAGGUAACAGGCUGUGCCAUUCCUAAAUUUUUAUACAUUUAUAUGUGUAUAUGUAUAUAUAUCUGUUUAUGAAAAACUGUUACGUAUUAGGUCCAUGUGAAUGAAUAAAUAAAAAAACUCAUGGUUAUACUGGUAGUAACAUGUUUAUGAUAGUCCACAUGAUGUUUUUUCAGAAAAUUACAGCUGGAUUCCAUUUAUUACUGUGACCCACCUAUAAAGGCAGAGGCCUCCUUGUUCAGAACUUGGUGGUCUAUAGAAGAUGUGCACCGAUGUCAUUGUGGUUUUACACCUCACCCAACCACUUCCUUACACUCACACGGUAAAGGACUUUCUCACACUGAUACAUUUCCUGUUACAUAUAGCAUGAAAAUCUUUUGGUUCUGGUCUCACAGCGAGGAUUCCUUCUGGGUGUUGGAGAAAUCACAUGGCGUCUUUUGGAGACUUUGGAAAAUAUGACAUAAAAUUAAAAGUAUUUACAAAUAUUCAUGCACUGUGGACAUUAUUGAAGUAAUGCUUUGAAAUCUGCCAAAGAAAUAUAAUUGAGGAUAAUCAGUGACAAAAUUAUGUGUAAAGAAAUGCACACCAUCUGUCGACUCUGGGUUCCCUCUGGGGUGAUCGUAAUCGCAGUGGUCAUUUGUUUCCCCAAAACAGGAAAUUGCUCCAUUCUGCCCCUAGGCUUCAACCAGGGUUCUCAGGAAAGAGCAAUAUUGUGUGACAUGAGAGGUGGCUUAUGAAAUGGCAAAUGUCACAUAUUGCAGCUUCUAAGAGUGAUGCU